rnacentral:rRNA from 1 species
AGCUUGGUGGUUAUAGCAUGAGUGAAACACACGAUCCCGA